rnacentral:rRNA from 1 species
UACAGAGGUCCCGAGCGUUGUUCGGAUUCAUUGGGCGUAAAGGGUGCGUAGGCGGCGGGGCAAGUCUGAUGUGAAAUCCCGGGGCUCAACCCCGGAACUGCAUUGGAUACUGCCUUGCUUGAGUACUGGAGAGGGAACUGGAAUUUACGGUGUAGCAGUGAAAUGCGCAGAUAUCAGGAGGAACACCCGUGGCGAAGGCGGCUCUCUGGGACGGUACUGACGCUGAGACGCGAAAGCGUGGGGAGCGAACAGG